rnacentral:guide_RNA from 1 species
AUAAGAUACAAUGGCAGGUAGAGUGUGAGUUACAGUGAUAUAUUAC